rnacentral:tRNA from 1 species
UGGCUCAGAGGUUAAGAGCACUGACUGCUCAUCCAGAGGACCUGGGUUCAAUUCCCAG